UACGGAGGGUGCAAGCGUUGUCCGGAAUCACUGGGCGUAAAGCGCGUGUAGGCGGCUAAGUAAGUCGGGCGUGAAAUCCCACGGCUCAACCGUGGAAGUGCACUCGAAACUGCAUAGCUAGAGUCCUGGAGAGGAAGGUGGAAUGCUUGGUGUAGAGGUGAAAUUCGUAGAUAUCAAGCGGAACACCGGUGGCGAAGGCGGCCUUCUGGACAGUGACUGACGCUGAGACGGCGAAAGCGUGGGAGCAAACAGG
rnacentral:rRNA from 1 species